AUGUACUCAGGUGGAUAUAUGCUUGUGAUGUUACUCUGAGACUUAGAGUAACAUCACAAGCAUAUAUUCACCUGAGUACAUUGCA
rnacentral:miRNA from 1 species